CCUACGGGUGGCAGCAGUGGGGAAUAUUGGGCAAUGGCGGAAACUCUGACCCAGCAACGCCGCGUGAAUGAUGAAGGUCUUCGGAUUGUAAAGUUCUUUUCUAAGGGAAGAAGAAAGUGACGGUACCUUAGGAAUAAGCCUCGGCUAACUACGUGCCAGCAGCCGCGGUAAUACGUAGGAGGCAAGCGUUAUCCGGAAUGACUGGGCGUAAAGGGUGCGUAGGUGGUUUGAUAAGUUGGAAGCGAAACUCCGGGGCUCAACCCUGGCGCUACUAUCAAAACUGUGGGACUUGAGUGCAGGAGGGGCAACUGGAAUUCCUAGUGUAGCGGUGGAAUGCGUAGAUAUUAGGAGGAACACCAGGGGCGAAGGCGAGUUGCUGGACUGUAACUGACACUGAGGCACGAAAGCGUGGGGAGCAAACAGGAUUAGAUACCCCAGUAGUC
rnacentral:rRNA from 1 species